UUCGCAUAAUCAGGUGCACUAUUUAAUGCUUAAAACACAUUAUAUUAACACAGAUUGGUCUUCUGUGAACAAUGUUUUUAUUUACAACAAAAUUCCCGGAGGUUAAGAAGACGGUAGUAAAUAUUAUGGAAUAAAUUAGUGUGGCUAUUACGACAUUUCGCCGGACAUGUUGCACAGUUUUGUCUCCGACCAGAGUACCAAUGUAACAAAGGCUUUGCAAAAUCUCGAAAGGAUCCCGUGUGCUGCUCAUUGUACAAACACAGCACUUAGUCACACUUUCGAUGAAGAUAACUUCUUGUUAAAUCAUACCCCCCGAACAUCGCAUCAACAAUAAAUACUGCAAAAUGCAUUGAAAGGUACAUUAAGAAAAGUGACCUCUGCUCGUCUUUGAAAUCAUCGUUGAAACAAGAGGUUUGCACACGCUGGAACAGCUUGCACACUAUACUGGACUCGUUAAACACUCAGUAUAACGAAGUUGCUGCUUUACUGACGUUUAAAGGACUCUGCUUACAGAUUGCAAGUAUAUGAUAAUGAGCUUGCAGGAAAAAUUGCGCAUUUUAAGAGACCAUUUAGAGUUUAGAGGCCACAAAUGAAUUAGAAGGCGAAAAAGAACUGACAAGCCAGUUAGUUCUUCUUUGGUUUCACAAACUGCAACAAAUUGUCAGUGUCGACAACACUGACUGUCAGGAGGUACAAUGAGUUAAAAAUGGAGCCUUGACUUUCGUUUGUGACGAGAUUGUGAUCACUUCCAGACAUAAAUUUGCUACGUUUCUUUAGCAGUCUUUCCGUGAUCUUAAUAUGCUUGAAAUUAAUGAAAAGCAGGAAAUUCUUAGCAAUGUGCGACAAAUGUGUGCUACUUAUGCAGAUCCUUGAAGUACUGUCAUCACCCAGAGAGAGAUCGUUCCAAGAAAUGGAGGGGCAACAUAUCAUCCUCAGCAGAUGUAG